AUCAGCGGCCAUACCGCGAUGAACCUUCCGCGUCUCGUCCGAUCCGCGCAGACAAGCAUCGCAGGGGCCAGAGAGUAUUGACGUGGGUGACCAGUCGAGAACACUGUGCUGCUGCAGGU
rnacentral:rRNA from 1 species